UCCUUCUUAGCUCAGUUGGUAGAGCGCGUCACUAGUAUUAUUUGCCUAGCGAUGCUAAUGACGAGGUCAGUCGUUCAAGUCGGCUAGAAGGAA